GUUCCCGGUUACGUGUUUAUAUAUUGAAGGGAAGAGCCCCCUUCGUGGCUGUACAUAGAGAUAGUUUACAUCAUAGACUUGACUCAACUACAACCACUCCAAACCAUUGCAUGUGUGCAUGGUCAACAAGAUUGAUGACACCCAUUGAACACUCCUGAACGUGAUGCCUGCAUCAUAGACUUGACUCAACUACAACCACUCUAAACCUUGCAUGUGUGCAUGAUCAACAAGAUUGAUGGCACCCAUUCAAUACUCCUGAACGUGAUGCCAAGUGUUACACUUCUAACAAACCACCCCUAGCCCUGAUGAAUCUCUCACUCCGCUGUCCCAAUCCGGCGGUGUGCCUCGCGAAUCGAGCGUUGCUG
rnacentral:lncRNA from 1 species